ACACAGACCAUACACAGACAUGACAGCUCCCACUCAGCUUCUGGGGCUAUUGCUGCUCUGGCUUAUAGGUGUAAAAUGUGACAUCAGGAUGACCCAGACUCCAGCUUCCCUGUCUGCAUCUCUGGGAGAAAGUGUCACCAUCACAUGCCAGGCAAGCCAGGAUAUUGGCAAAAGUUUAUUAUGGUACCAGCAGAAAACUGGGAAUACCCCUAAGAUUCUGAUCUAUACUGCAUCCAACUUGGCAGAUGGAAUUUCACCAAGGUUCAGUGGUAGUGGAUCCGGUACACAGUUUUCUCUGAAGAUCAGCAGCCUGCAGCCUGAAGACACUGCAACCUAUUUCUGUUGUCAGGGUUACUGGUUAUUACCACAGAGAUUGAAACCAUGA